UACGAAGGGUGCAAGCGUUACUCGGAAUUACUGGGCGUAAAGCGUGCGUAGGUGGUUUGUUAAGUCUGUUGUGAAAGCCCCGGGCUCAACCUGGGAAUGGCAAUGGAUACUGGCAAGCUAGAGUGCGGUAGAGGGUAGUGGAAUUCCCGGUGUAGCGGUGAAAUGCGUAGAGAUCGGGAAGAACACCCGUGGCGAAGGCGGUUCUCUGGGACGGUACUGACGCUGAGACGCGAAAGCGUGGGGAGCGAACAGG
rnacentral:rRNA from 1 species